GCGUUCGUAGCUCAACUGGAUAGAGCAUCUGACUUCGGAUCAGAGGGUUGAGGGUUCAAGUCCUUCCGAGCGCA
rnacentral:tRNA from 1 species